AAUAAUUCACCCUUUUUUCUUAAGUUAGUAUUAUUUACCAUUUUUUUUCUUUAAAAAUAACAUGAUAAAUUAUUCACCGUUUUUUUUUUAUUUUCUAUAUAAAAUUCUAAUAAUCAGAUAAAAGUUUUAAUAAAUUAUAUAAAAUCUAAAGAUCAAUUUAUACAAUACUAACAAUCAAAUAAAAAUUUCAGUAAUCUACAUACAAUACUAACAAUCUCACAAAAGUACAAAAUUCAACUUUCACAUCCUGCCCCUGCAAAAGCUCUGAUAUUUUCAAAUAUAUCUUUAUCGUUAAGAUCCGUUAGAAAAAAUUAGUUAACUAUAGAUAAAAUACUUAACUCUAGUUAAUUAAUGAGAUGAAUUGAUAUUUUUACCUCUCUUCAAUUAAUAGUUGAGACUUUUGGAGGGACAUAUUUGUGAUGAUAAAAAAGUUAUUUUACUUAUAAAAUAAACAGUGCUUUAAUGAUAACAAAGCAGAGAGCCAUAUUUGAAAAUAUUAUAACUUUUAUAGGGAUAAUAUAUAAAAGUUGAACUUUGUAGAAUAUAUUUAUAAUUCACUAUGUUUACAUGAAUCUGUAUGAAGUUAAUCCUUAUAAAUAAAUAAAUCGCUACAUAUA
rnacentral:lncRNA from 1 species